CCUACGGGAGACAGCAGGGGGGGAUAUUGCACAAUGGGGGGAACCCUGAUGCAGCGACGCCGCGUGGGUGAAGAAGCGCCUCGGCGCGUAAAGCCCUGUCAGCAGGGAAGAAAAUGACGGUACCUGAAGAAGAAGCCCCGGCUAACUACGUGCCAGCAGCCGCGGUAAUACGUAGGGGGCAAGCGUUAUCCGGAUUUACUGGGUGUAAAGGGGGCGCAGACGGCGAUGCAAGCCAGGAGUGAAAGCCCGGGGCCCAACCCCGGGACUGCUCUUGGAACUGCGUGGCUGGAGUGCAGGAGGGGCAGGCGGAAUUCCUGGUGUAGCGGUGAAAUGCGUAGAUAUCAGGAGGAACACCGGUGGUGAAGGCGGCCUGCUGGACUGCAACUGACGUUGAGGCCCGAAAGCGUGGGGAGCGAACAGGAUUAGAUACCCGUGUAGUC
rnacentral:rRNA from 1 species